AACUCAUGAAGUUAUAAAGUGGGGGUUAUGGUUCCCACAUUAGUGCAAGACAAGACUCUUCUUCCUCCCAUUGAAUCAAGAGCAAAAAUACUCCAUUGUUGUCUUGCAAAUAGUGUGGAAAACCAUAUACCUAUUUGAUCAUUGUCACACCAUUAUUAUUGUGAAUAAUUCACAUAUUGUUUAAGGUUUGUUUCUUGCAUACUUGUGGAUACAUAUACAACUUCAAGACAUUCUUGAUGGAAGGCUAAGGAGCAAACUUCAUAGAUACAUAAGGACAAUCAUCAAAAGGAGGUUCAACAAUUU
rnacentral:lncRNA from 1 species